rnacentral:rRNA from 1 species
UGAGGAAUAUUGGUCAAUGGACGCAAGUCUGAACCAGCCAAGUAGCGUGCAGGAUGACGGCCCUAUGGGUUGUAAACUGCUUUUAUAUGGGGAUAAAGUGGGGAACGUGUUCCCUUUUGCAGGUACCAUAUGAAUAAGGACCGGCUAAUUCCGUGCCAGCAGCCGCGGUAAUACGGAAGGUCCGGGCGUUAUCCGGAUUUAUUGGGUUUAAAGGGAGCGUAGGCCGCGUUUUAAGCGUGUUGUGAAAUGUAGACGCCCAACGUCUGCAUCGCAGCGCGAACUGGGACGCUUGAGUACGCGCAACGUUGGCGGAAUUCGUCGUGUAGCGGUGAAAUGCUUAGAUAUGACGAGGAACUCCGAUUGCGAAGGCAGCUGACGGGAGCGGCACUGACGCUUAAGCUCGAAGGUGCGGGUAUCAAACAGG